AGCAGCCGCGGUAAUUCCAGCUCCAAUAGCGUAUAUUAAAGUUGUUGCAGUUAAAAAGCUCGUAGUUGAAUUUCGGGGUCAGUAGAUUGGUCGUGCCACUGGUAUGUACUGGUCUUACUGGCUCCUCCUUCCUGAUGAACCGUAAUGCCAUUAAUUUGGUGUUGCGGGGAAACUGGACUGUUACUUUGAAAAAAUUAGAGUGUUUAAAGCAGGCUAACGCUUGAAUACAUUAGCAUGGAAUAAUGAAAUAGGACGUUCGAUCUUAUUUUGUUGGUUUU
rnacentral:rRNA from 1 species